CUCCUAGAUGUUCUGGGCCGCACGCGCGCUACACUGAACAGUUCAACAAGUCUUAACCUUGGCCGAUAGGUCUGGGUAAUCUUUGAACGCUGUUCGUGAUUGGGAUAGACCUUUGCAAUUAUGGGUCUUCAACGAGGAAUUCCUAGUAAACGCAAGUCAUCAGCUUGCAUUGAUUACGUCCCUGCCCUUUGUACACACCGCCCGUCGCACCUACCGAUUGAAUGGUCCGGUGAAAUCUCGGGACGGCGGCUUGGUCGCUUGCGUCCGACUGCUGAAACUUGAUUAAACCAUAUCAUUUAGAGGAAGGUGAAGUCGUANCA
rnacentral:rRNA from 1 species